UACGGAGGGUGCAAGCGUUAUCCGGAUUCACUGGGUUUAAAGGGAGCGUAGGCGGGCUGCCAAGUCCGGGGUGAAAUCCUCCAGCUUAACUGGAGAACUGCCUCGGAUACUGGAAGUCUCGAGGAGGGUAGGGGCAAGUGGAACCGUGGGUGGAGCGGUGAAAUGCGUUGAUAUCCAUGGGAACUCCGGUGGCGAAGGCGACUUGCUGGACCCUUUCUGACGCUGAGGCUCGAAAGCCAGGGGAGCAAACGGG
rnacentral:rRNA from 1 species